rnacentral:rRNA from 1 species
UACGAAGGGGGCUAGCGUUGCUCGGAAUCACUGGGCGUAAAGCGCACGUAGGCGGGUCUUUAAGUCGGAGGUGAAAUCCUGGAGCUCAACUCCAGAACUGCCUUCGAUACUGAGGAUCUCGAGUCCGGGAGAGGUGAGUGGAACUGCGAGUGUAGAGGUGAAAUUCGUAGAUAUUAGCAGGAACACCGGUGGCGAAGGCGGCUAUCUGGACGACAACUGACGCUGAGGUGCGAAAGCGUGGGGAGCAAACAGG